GCCACGCCGCGUGAGCGAAGACGGAUUUCGGGUUGGUAACCUCUUUUUGAGGGAAGAAAAUGACGGUACGUGACUAAGAUUGCCGGCUAACUACGAGCCGGCCGCCGCGGUUUACGAGCAGCCGCCGCGGUAAU
rnacentral:rRNA from 1 species